GCCUAAUACAUGCCAGUCGAGCGAACGGAUAAGGAGCUUGCUCCUUUGAAGUUAGCGGCGGACGGGAGAGGAACACGUGGGUAACCUACCUAUAAGACUGGAAUAACUUCGGGAAACCGGAGCUAAUGCCGGAUAACAUUUGGAACCGCAUGGUUCUAAAGUAAAAGAUGGUUUUGCUAUCACUUAUAGAUGGACCCGCGCCGUAUUAGCUAGUUGGUAAGGUAACGGCUUACCAAGGCAACGAUACGUAGCCGACCUGAGAGGGUGAUCGGCCACACUGGAACUGAGACACGGUCCAGACUCCUACGGGAGGCAGCAGUAGGGAAUCUUCCGCAAUGGACGAAAGUCUGACGGAGCAACGCCGCGUGAGUGAUGAAGGUUUUCGGAUCGUAAAACUCUGUUAUUAGGGAAGAACAAAUGUGUAAGUAACUGUGCACAUCUUGACGGUACCUAAUCAGAAAGCCACGGCUAACUACGUGCCAGCAGCCGCGGUAAUACGUAGGUGGCAAGCGUUAUCCGGAAUUAUUGGGCGUAAAGCGCGCGUAGGCGGUUUCUUAAGUCUGAUGUGAAAGCCCACGGCUCAACCGUGGAGGGUCAUUGGAAACUGGGAAACUUGAGUACAGAAGAGGAAAGUGGAAUUCCAUGUGUAGCGGUGAAAUGCGCAGAGAUAUGGAGGAACACCAGUGGCGAAGGCGACUUUCUGGUCUGUAACUGACGCUGAUGUGCGAAAGCGUGGGGAUCAAACAGGAUUAGAUACCCUGGUAGUCCACGCCGUAAACGAUGAGUGCUAAGUGUUAGGGGGUUUCCGCCCCUUUAGUGCUGCAGCUAACGCAUUAAGCACUCCCCCUGGGGGAGUACGACCGCAGGUUGAAACUCAAAGGGAAUUGACGGGGACCCGCACAAGCGGUGGAGCAUGUGGUUUAAUUCGAAGCAACGCGAAGAACCUUACCAAAUCUUGACAUCCUUU
rnacentral:rRNA from 1 species